GCCCAGGUGGUGGAAUUGGUAGACACGUCAGACUUAGGAUCUGGUGCCGAGAGGCGUAUAGGUUCAAAUCCUAUCUUGGGCA
rnacentral:tRNA from 1 species